rnacentral:rRNA from 1 species
GACGAACGCUGGCGGCGUGCCUAAUACAUGCAAGUUGAGCGCUGAAGGUUGGUACUUGUACCAACUGGAUGAGCAGCGAACGGGUGAGUAACGCGUGGGGAAUCUGCCUUUGAGCGGGGGACAACAUUUGGAAACGAAUGCUAAUACCGCAUAAAAACUUUAAACACAAGUUUUAAGUUUGAAAGAUGCAAUUGCAUCACUCAAAGAUGAUCCCGCGUUGUAUUAGCUAGUUGGUGAGGUAAAGGCUCACCAAGGCGAUGAUACAUAGCCGACCUGAGAGGGUGGUCGGCCACAUUGGGACUGAGACACGGCCCAAGCUCCUACGGGAGGCAGCAGUAGGGAAUCUUCGGCAAUGGACGGAAGUCUGGCCGAGCAACGCCGCGUGAGGGAAGAAGGUUUUCGGAUCGUAAAACUCUGUUGGUAGAGAAGAAAGUUGGUGGGAGUGGAAAGCUCAUCAAGUGACGGUAACUACCCAGAAAGGGACGGCUAACUACGUG